rnacentral:snRNA from 1 species
UUCGGCGUUCGAAUUGUAGUCUGGA